rnacentral:rRNA from 1 species
AGUGAACGCUGGCGGUAGGCCUAACACAUGCAAGUCGAACGGCAGCACAGUAAGAGCUUGCUCUUACGGGUGGCGAGUGGCGGACGGGUUAGGAAUACAUCGGACUCUACUUUUUCGUGGGGGAUAACGUAGGGAAACUUACGCUAAUACCGCAUACGACCUACGGGUGAAAGCAGGGGAUCUUCGGUCCUUGCGCGAUUGAAUGAGCCGAUGUCGGAUUAGCUAGUUGGCGGGGUAAAGGCCCACCAAGGCGACGAUCCGUAGCUGGUCUGAGAGGAUGAUCAGCCACACUGGAACUGAGACACGGUCCAGACUCCUACGGGAGGCGGCAGUGGGGAAUGUUGGACAAUGGGCGCAAGCCUGAUCCAGCCAUACCGCGUGGGUGAAGAAGGCAUUCGGGUUGUAAAGCACGUUUGUUGGGAAAGAAAAGCAGCAGGUUAAUACCCCGCUGUUCUGAAGGUACCCAAAGAAUAAGCACCGGCUAACUUAGUG